rnacentral:rRNA from 1 species
GUCAUAUGCUUGUCUCAAAGAUUAAGCCAUGCAUGUCUCAGUACAAGCCAAAUUAAGGUGAAACCGCGAAAGGCUCAUUAAAUCAGUUAUGGUUCCUUAGAUCGUACCCACAAUUACUUGGAUAACUGUGGUAAUUCUAGAGCUAAUACAUGCAAACAGAGCUCCGACCGGAGACGGAAGGAGUGCUUUUAUUAGAUCAAAACCAAUCGGUGGCGGGUUCGCUCGUUAUCGUACAACUUGGUGACUCUGAAUAACUUUACGCUGAUCGCACGGUCAUCGCACCGGCGACGCAUCUUUCAAAUGUCUGCCUUAUCAACUGUCGAUGGUAGGUUCUGCGCCUACCAUGGUUGUAACGGGUAACGGGGAAUCAGGGUUCGAUUCCGGAGAGGGAGCCUGAGAAACGGCUACCACAUCCAAGGAAGGCAGCAGGCGCGCAAAUUACCCACUCCCGGCACGGGGAGGUAGUGACGAAAAAUAACGAUACGGGACUCAUCCGAGGCCCCGUAAUCGGAAUGAGUACACUCUAAACCCUUUAACGAGGAUCAAUUGGAGGGCAAGUCUGGUGCCAGCAGCCGCGGUAAUUCCAGCUCCAAUAGCGUAUAUUAAAGUU